AGUCUUAAAAUUUAACUUAAAUUGCAAAUUUAAGAUAGCUGAUAAUAUAAGCUAAGGCUU
rnacentral:tRNA from 1 species